rnacentral:rRNA from 1 species
GACGAACGCUGGCGGCGUGCUUAACACAUGCAAGUCGAACGGAAAGGCCCUGCUUUUGUGGGGUGCUCGAGUGGCGAACGGGUGAGUAACACGUGAGUAACCUGCCCUUGACUUUGGGAUAACUUCAGGAAACUGGGGCUAAUACCGGAUAGGAGCUCCUGCUGCAUGGUGGGGGUUGGAAAGUUUCGGCGGUUGGGGAUGUACUCGCGGCUUAUCAGCUUGUUGGUGGGGUAGUGGCUUACCAAGGCUUUGACGGGUAGCCGGCCUGAGAGGGUUACCGGCCACAUUGGGACUGAGAGACGGCCCAGAAUCCUACGGGAGGCAGCAGUGGGGAAUAUUGCACAAUGGGCGGAAGCCUGAUGCAGCAACGCCGCGUGCGGGAUGACGGCCUUCGGGUUGUAAACCGCUUUCGCCUGUGACGAAGCGUGCGUGACGGUAAUGGGUAAAGAAGCACCGGCUAACUACGUG